rnacentral:rRNA from 1 species
CAGCAGCCGCGGUAAUACGUAGGUGGCAAGCGUUGUCCGGAAUUAUUGGGCGUAAAGCGCGCGCAGGUGGUUUAAUAAGUCUGAUGUGAAAGCCCACGGCUCAACCGUGGAGGGUCAUUGGAAACUGUUAAACUUGAGUGCAGGAGAGGAGAGUGGAAUUCCACGUGUAGCGGUGAAAUGCGUAGAGAUGUGGAGGAACACCAGUGGCGAAGGCGACUCUCUGGUCUGUAACUGACGCUGAGGAGCGAAAGCGUGGGGAGCAAACAGGAUUAGAUACCCCCGUAGUCCCUGUCUCUUAUAC